rnacentral:rRNA from 1 species
GAUGAACGCUGGCGGCGUGCCUAAUACAUGCAAGUCGAGCGAACAGACGAGGAGCUUGCUCCUCUGACGUUAGCGGCGGACGGGUGAGUAACACGUGGAUAACCUACCUAUAAGACUGGGACAACUUCGGGAAACCGGAGCUAAUACCGGAUAAUAUAUUGAACCGCAUGGUUCAAUAGUGAAAGACGGUUUUGCUGUCACUUAUAGAUGGAUCCGCGCCGCAUUAGCUAGUUGGUAAGGUAACGGCUUACCAAGGCAACGAUGCGUAGCCGACCUGAGAGGGUGAUCGGCCACACUGGAACUGAGACACGGUCCAGACUCCUACGGGAGGCAGCAGUAGGGAAUCUUCCGCAAUGGGCGAAAGCCUGACGGAGCAACGCCGCGUGAGUGAUGAAGGUCUUCGGAUUGUAAAACUCUGUUAUUAGGGAAGAACAAAUGUGUAAGUAACUAUGCACGUCUUGACGGUACCUAAUCAGAAAGCCACGGCUAACUACGUG